CGUGCACCCGCCGCUCAGGCCCCGCGGUCCUCCCGGCGCCGCGGCUCAACGCGGGCCCCACGGACUGGACGCGAGGCAGGGUAGCGGGGACCUCGGGAAUGGAUAGAGAAGGAAAUUCAGCAAAGUCCAAGGAACGGGGGAUGGUCCAACAAGUUGUUGGGAGUAAAGUGUCGCCCAUCAAUCAUGGUAUAUUCAACUCACCCCAAAGAAGUCAAGAUUAUGUUUACAGCCUAAGAGGAGGGGUUCUAUUUCAUCCUCUGCAGUACAAUAUUCCUGGCUGUGAGGCUUGCAGUUCCACUUGGGGGAAGGAAUCUUUGUAUAAACUGUAGUACUUUUCUUUGUUCACAAUUUUUCUCGACAGUUUUUUUAAUAAUAUUUAGAGGCUAUAUUGAUUUCCAUCUUAUGCCAUAACUACACUGAUUUGAAAAGUACAUAUAUAGCUAUACCAUGCAUAAAAAUAUACCACCAAGAACUCGCCAUGUAUCCAGUUGUAGAGUUACAAGUUCACUUCGGGGAGGGGGUGAGAAGGUGGAAAGAAAACACACCCCACCCCCACCAUUUUUCACUUAGCUGGUUUCUCAUCCUUUCUGUCCCAUCCAACUGAAACUGUGCCUUCCCGGCACCAACCCCUAUCUCAGCACUUUGUGCGUUUCCUUCAUUAUACGAUUUGUAAAUAUUCACUUAUGAAGUUUUUGAAAGAAAAUCUGUCUUCCCCACUAGAAUCUCAUCUUUUUAAGGGCAGGGAUUAUAUCUGUCUUGAUAACAGUUGUUUUCUCAGAACUAGCACAGUGUUUGGCAUGAGUUGGUACUCAAUAAACGUUUACUGAAUGGCUGAAUAUGGAGCUGGUCACAUACAUACCUUGCAUGUGUUAAACUGUUUUCCAGGACAAAAAAGAGUAUGAUAUCAUUCAAAUUCCAUGAAGAAUUUUGUCAAAUCUUGGCUCGUAAGUCAUGUUACAAAUGUCCUUGACAGGUCACCCCUGGUUUAUGGUCCACAUGAACAAUGUGAAUGCCUUGGUAGAUGACAUAAAUUUUCUAAGUAUAAAUAGUAAAAGUGGUUAAAACUGUAUAUCAAAUAUAAUUUUGAGUAAGCUACAUUUACAUACGUAACCCCUCUGUUUCAUAAACAAAUUAUUUCUUGUUAAUACCUGAUAAUUCAUGAACCAGGUUGACUACUAAGGAAUGCACAGAUGUAGUUUAUAACCACUACGUGCAAUUAG